AUACUUACCUGGGCGGGGCCUAUCGCUGAUCUAGAAGGGCGAUGACUUAGAUACAGGCUCUCCAUUGCACCAAGGACGGUCUGGAUCUAGCAUUUCCCUAUGGGUAAAUGCACGUCAUAAUUUGUGCCAGAGGAGGGCUCGCGUCCGCGCGGCCCUCCA
rnacentral:snRNA from 1 species